CAAGGGCGUAUAUUAAUGUUGUUGCAGUUAAAAAGCUCGUAGUUGGAUUUCUGGUUGAAGCGACCGGUCGGGCGUUGAUUCGUCUGCACUGGAGUCGGUUUUGGCCAUCCUCUAGGAAAGUGCGUCUGGUAUUAAGUUAUCGGGCGUAUGAUCCUGGUCUUUUACUGUGAAAAAAUUAGAGUGUUUAAAGCAGGCCUUCGCCUUGAAUACAUUAGCAUGGAAUAAUAAGAUAGGACUUUGGUCUAUUUUGUUGGUUUGCAGACCGAAGUAAUGAUUAAUAGGGAUAGUUGGGGGUAUUUAUAUUCCGAUGUCAGAGGUGAAAUUCUUAGAUUUUCGGAAGAUAAACUUAUGCGAAAGCAUUUACCAAGGAUGUUUUCAUUAA
rnacentral:rRNA from 1 species